rnacentral:lncRNA from 1 species
GGCCUGGUUUCUUAAUGUCAGUACCAAAUAUUUGUCUCAUUCUGAUGUUACAUCUUGGGUUCGUGCAGAAGUAUGAAGAUUCAGAAUCACUCUGAGACUAUUACUGCACAUAUGGCGUCCUCAUUUGCUCUGAGGGUGAGAAGCGCACACUAGAAUAUGCCGAGGGAAUUAUGAACUCCUCAGCAAACUGGCGGAGAACAAAGAGCCGACUUCAUAGUCUCUCUGGAUAAAGAAGAGCUCAGGUAACUUCUCCAGCAGGAGGAAUGCACAUGACCCUGACACAUGAUCUGGUCUCCUCAAGAUACCCCAAGUGCUACACAGCUGCCAGCCUCAACACCUUGCCCAGGACAACAGCUCCCUUGGUGCCAUGAUGACCCAUCACAUGCAGCAGAGGACACAAGUGCUUGCCUAAAAGGAGCGGCGAAUAUUUUGCUUUGUGCAGUUUGUCUACAAACCCCAUGCAAAGAAGGGCUCAUCCACAACUUCUGGCAGGCUGGCAAGAGGUGGAGACAUUUUUUGGAGGAGGAGAUCAGCUCAAAGCCACCCUGUCCCCACACAGGGAGUUCAGGAGCAAGUAAAUCAUUUCCCUGGGCAAUAAUUCCCUGCACAGGAAGCAGCUGGCUGUGCCAGAGUCCUGAAGUGCCUGAACUGGGCCGUGUCAGCUGCCUGGGCCAAGACAAUGGUGAGACAGAAGCAGCCCCAUUGGGGCACUGCAGGAGAGUGGCCGUGCUGGUAAUGCUGUGA